UUCUGUCUCUCUCUCUCUCUCUCUCCAGGCCAGGGAGUGUGUGUUGCGUCUCUCGUCCAGUGAGUGUGUGUUGAAGCGGGACGUGGACGAAGGCCGCGACGCCCUGGACAAGAUGGCCGCCAUGAACCAGGCGCUGGCCUCCGACAAGAGAGAGCUGAGCCAGCAGCUGCUGCAGGUGGAGUGUGAGCUAUCAGAGAGCCAAUCACAGCUGGUGGUUUUGAGGUCAGAGGUCAGCUGUCUGCAGAGAGAGGUCAAAGCCCUGAACCUGGACUACAGCCAGCUCAGGGCCCAGAGCGAGGCGGAGCGGGACGUCCUGCAGCAGCUGAGAGAGAGAGAGACGGAGAUGGAGAGAAUAAUGGAGGAGAGGGAGACAGAGCUGGUGGCCCUGACGGAGGAGAGAGAGAGGGAGGGCAGACAGCUGGAGGAGGUGAGGGGGAGGAAGAGGAGGUCAGCGAUGUGA
rnacentral:lncRNA from 1 species